AGAGUUUGAUCCUGGCUCAGGAUGAACGCUAGCGACAGGCCUAACACAUGCAAGUCGAGGGGCAACAUGGUGUCAGCUUGCUGAUACCGAUGGCGACCGGCGCACGGGUGAGUAACGCGUAUGUAAUCUACCUGUAACAGAGGGAUAACCCGGAGAAAUCCGGACUAAUACCUCAUAGUACAUAUUAUUCGCAUGAGUUUUAUGUUAAAGAGAUUCGGUUACAGAUGAACAUGCGUUCCAUUAGCUAGUUGGCGGGGUUACGGCCCACCAAGGCAACGAUGGAUAGGGGUUCUGAGAGGAAGGUCCCCCACACUGGUACUGAGACACGGACCAGACUCCUACGGGAGGCAGCAGUGAGGAAUAUUGGUCAAUGGGCGAAAGCCUGAACCAGCCAAGUCGCGUGGAGGAAGACGGCCCUACGGGUUGUAAACUUCUUUUACCUGGGAAUAACGGGCGCUACGUGUAGCGCUGUGCAUGUACCAGGCGAAUAAGCAUCGGCUAAUUCCGUGCCAGCAGCCGCGGUAAUACGGAAGAUGCGAGCGUUAUCCGGAUUUAUUGGGUUUAAAGGGUGCGUAGGCGGAAGGAUAAGUCAGCGGUGAAAUGCUUCAGCUCAACUGGAGAAUUGCCGAUGAAACUGUUUUUCUAGAGUAUAAAAGAGGUAUGCGGAAUGCGUGGUGUAGCGGUGAAAUGCAUAGAUAUCACGCAGAACCCCGAUUGCGAAGGCAGCAUACUGGGCUAUAACUGACGCUGAAGCACGAAAGCGUGGGUAUCGAACAGGAUUAGAUACCCUGGUAGUCCACGCCGUAAACGAUGAAUACUAACUGUUUGCGAUAUAAUGUAAGCGGUACAGCGAAAGCGUUAAGUAUUCCACCUGGGGAGUACGCCGGCAACGGUGAAACUCAAAGGAAUUGACGGGGGCCCGCAC
rnacentral:rRNA from 1 species